UACGGGGGGAGCAAGCGUUGUUCGGAUUUACUGGGCGUAAAGGGCGCGUAGGCGGCCCUCUAAGUCAGACGUGAAAUCCCUCGGCUCAACCGGGGAACUGCGUCUGAUACUGGGUGGCUUGAAUCCGGGAGAGGGAUGCGGAAUUCCAGGUGUAGCGGUGAAAUGCGUAGAUAUCUGGAGGAACACCGGUGGCGAAGGCGGCAUCCUGGACCGGUAUUGACGCUGAGGCGCGAAAGCCAGGGGAGCAAACGGG
rnacentral:rRNA from 1 species